AGGAGCUGAAUGUCAACUAGUCAAAGAUGGAGGCUGGAGCGGGGCGGCCAUGAGGCAUGGAAUGAAGCUCCCUCCAGUCACCUGCCUCAAGACACAUUAUCCAGCUUCCUAACCUUAAGGAUGAGACCCUAUCAAUAUUGCCUCUGCUUUUGUGAUCAGGGUAGUAGUGCAAUAUUGCUUAUAGGGUCUUUUCUUUUGAGGGUUAUUCUUCAUGGAGAGAAGAAAGCCACAGCGGGAAAAAAAUAAUCCUAUGUGCCCAUCGAGUUAAGGGAAAAGUUGUGAAAUGCUGAGUGCUGUUAGAUAGGCAAGUAACUGUGCAGAGAUGGUUUUUGUGACAAAUAAUCAUGCUAUUGUAGUGAC